GUCUAUGGCCAUACCACCCUUCAUGCACCCCAUCUCGCCCCUUCUCAGAAGAUAAGCAGGGUUGAGCCUGGUUAGUGCUUGGAUGGGAGGAGUAGGAAAUCUAGUGUUUAGCUU
ensembl:rRNA 5S_rRNA 5S ribosomal RNA